rnacentral:rRNA from 1 species
GACGAACGCUGGCGGCGUGCUUAACGCAUGCAAGUCGAACGGAAAGGCCCUGCUUUUGUGGGGUGCUCGAGUGGCGAACGGGUGAGUAACACGUGAGUAACCUGCCCUUGACUUUGGGAUAACUUCAGGAAACUGGGGCUAAUACCGGAUAGGAGCUCCUGCUGCACGGUGGGGGUUGGAAAGUUUCGGCGGUUGGGGAUGGACUCGCGGCUUAUCAGCUUGUUGGUGGGGUAGUGGCUUACCAAGGCUUUGACGGGUAGCCGGCCUGAGAGGGUGACCGGCCACAUUGGGACUGAGAUACGGCCCAGACCCCUACGGGAGGCAGCAGUGGGGAAUAUUGCACAAUGGGCGGAAGCCUGAUGCAGCAACGCCGCGUGCGGGAUGACGGCCUUCGGGUUGUAAACCGCUUUCGCCUGUGACGAAGCGUGAGUGACGGUAAUGGGUAAAGAAGCACCGGCUAACUACGU